UCCUGAGAUCACAACCCUAGGGGUCCUGCCCUUUAACAUCGCAGCGAACUCCCUGGACCCACUUUGCAGAACCCCGUCACUCAUUGGUACCUUCAUGGAGCACGAUUGGAUGAGGAAGGAGCAGAUUCCAGGGGAAACUCGGAAAUGACUCAUGCAGAUGACUUCAUUUGUGGAACCGUGGGUGACUGCAUCAACAGGUUAGGCCUGGAAGACAUUUCAAUUCAUCUCUACAUUCCCUAUGAGAAAUCAUUGCUCCUGCGUAAAUCCAGGGGACCGUGCACAAUCCUGAUUUGAUGGAGACAGAGCACAGGGGAACAUCUGGAAAACUUCUGAAAUGCCCGCUUUGCUGCCGCUGCUACUGUGUGGUAACCGGAAUCUCCGGAGCAGAAGGCCCUGAAAUCCUUGGCUUUGCUUGUUUCAGCGACCGGUGCUAGGUCGAAGGAGCUCGGCAGAGGAUGGCGCUCGGGAGGCUGUAUCGGAGAGGCUGGUCGGAAGCUUGGAGUUUUCGGACGGAUGGACUCAGUGUCGGCUGUGCUCGGCUGCUUCCAAGGUAUCGGCAAGUUGACGGUGCCUGGAGGUCUGUGGCAGGGAGUUUCACCCUUUUGCUGCCUGCUAUCGGGGACUCGGGAGUCGAUCGACUCGGGGACUUUUGAGACUUUAUUUACCGUGCCCAUGGUUUGUUCUUCAUCAAAUUAUGGUAUUGCGUUGCACUGCUGUAACUAUAUGUUAUAAUUACGUGGUUCUGUCAGUGUUAGUCUUUGGUUUGUCCUGUUUUCUGUGAUAUCACUCUGGAGAAACAUUGUAUCAUUUCUUAAUGCAUGUAUGCAUUUCUAAAUGACAA